rnacentral:rRNA from 1 species
CGGGGUGCAGCAGGCGCGAAAACUUUGCAAUACACGAAAGUGUGACAGGGCUAUCCCGAGUGCCAUCCGCUGAGGAAGGCUUUUACCCCGUUUAGAACGCUGGGGGAAUAAGGAGAGGGCAAGUCUGGUGUCAGCCGCCGCGGUAAUACCAGCUCUCCGAGUGGUGUGGAUGUUUAUUGGGCCUAAAGCAUCCGUAGCCGGUUAGGUUAGUCCCUUGUUAAAUCCACCGAAUUAAUCGUUGGAUUGCGGGGGAUACUGCUUGGCUAGGGGACGAGAGAGGCAGACGGUAUUUCCGGGGUAGGGGUGAAAUCCUAUAAUCCCGGGAAGACCACCAGUGGCGAAGGCUGUUUGCUAGAACGCGCCCGACGGUGAGGGAUGAAAGCUGGGGGAGCGAACCGGAUUAGAUACCCGGGUAGUCCCAGCUGUAAACGAUGCAGGCUAGGUGUUUGGACGGCCACGUGCCGUUUUAGUGCCGCAGGGAAGCUGUUAAGCCUGCCGCCUGGGGAGUACGAUCGCAAGAUUGAAACUUAAAGGAAUUGGCGGGGGAGCACAAGGGCGAUUCGCG